GAGCUCAGGCUGCUGGCUCUGCAGACUGCUCAGUUCUUCGUGUCGCACCUUAAUUGGUUCCCGGAUGGAUGAUGAAUAGAUGGAUGGUUUUGGGUUUUUUUGUUUUUCUUUCUCUUGUUUUGUUCUGAUGACCUUAAACUUUUUGAUCCUCCUUCCCUUCUUCCUGACUUUUGGAUUUGCAACGCCACACUGUUAUGCAGUAGUGAUUGAAGCCCUCUUGGUGGGGUUAUGCAAGCUCUGUAUCAGUUGAUCCACAUCUUUUGUUUCCUCAAUUUUAUCUCAACGUUUUUAAAAGAGUGCCAGGGCAGGUGUGCCAAAUUCAUACGCUGAAAUUUCCCUCUAUAUUUUUGUGUUUUAGUAGCUGAUUGUUCAUGGUUAUCAACCGGGAAGCUUCCUAUUUCACACAUGCUCCUGGCUUGCUAUUACAUUAUAAAUGAAACUGUACAUUUUCAUUUUGUCAGUAUUAAUGUUAAUAAUUUGCCACAGACACAUAAUUGGUUUUUUAUUAAUCUUGAACACUCCUUGAAGGCAUUACCUGCUUUUUUCUCUGUAUGUUUACAAUUCUGUAUAUUGUUUGUAUCGUCUUAAUUUGUGUGACCAAACUUUGAGUCUGUGUAAACGUUCUGUUUUCUGUUCAUAAAUGUUUGAAGUCUGCCCCUUGAUUUAGGAUCUGUCAUUUUUUUGCUUGACUCAACUUUACUGUGGUUUCAAUACAGUAAUUUUAACUAACUGUCUUCAUUCCUUAUUAGGCACAAGCAACAUUUUUAAAAACUUAACACACCUCCAUCCAAGAGUCCAUCCUAUUUAGGCAUAGAGUCUGUUUUAUCCAGUCACUGUGUACAGUUACUGUGGUACCCAAAUUGUCCUAGGUUUAACUGAAGGAGGUGUGAAGGGUUCUUUGGAAAGUCAGUUGGGUGGUGUUUUGCUGGGACAAACACUUGAAGGAGCAUCUUGUUAAAGUGGACAUAGGUGUGAAAGGCUACAGCAGACUCGUGAAGGAAUGUUACACUGAAGCAGACACAGGAGAGAGGAUGUUCUGCUAAAGCAAACAUGUGAAAGGACACGUGAUAAAGGAUUCUUCGCUAAUGACAUAUGUAUUGGUGUGCCUUACAUUGUGUAGUUGAGCUGUGUCUGUCGGGACUCCAUAGAAACACAUUAAAGAAUUGUUGGUAGUGUGUUGUAGUUUUUGUUGCUUUUGCAGACUUGGGCUGAUUGGCAGAGUGAUGUCAGCUGAGACAGACGCACAUGCUAAGGCAGGACCUGUGGAGGACACGUGAUGUUUAGAGGGAGUAUAAAAAGGACCCAACUAACAGUGACAGGGGUUGAGCUAGGCUUGCUUAUCGAGCUAGCUGUGCAACAUUUGUUAGUCACGAGUCUUUGUUGGUCUAUGCUUGGUUGAGAGAGGCAUAGUCAGAACUUUUCUUGGUGUUCCUCUUGGUCCCUCCUGCUGACUCAAGCCAAGGCUGAGGCCUGGCUGUCUCUGCUAGGUCAUGCCACUGCUGUCGCUAACCUGACUCUACUAACCUGGACUGCUGGUGUAUCUGUGAAGUGUUUGCGAGUGGAUCGAGCUGCCGCUACUGACCUGUGACUUGAACUGUCCAUUUCUAGACAGCACAGAAGUUGCUCCAAAGAACCUUUCUGGAUAGGUUUAUUGCUCCAUAUCUUUUUUUGUUUUGAUUUGUUUUUUUUGUUUGUUUUUGUUUGUUUGUUUGCUUUUUUAAGACAGGGUUUCUCUGUGUAGCCCUGACUGUCCUGGAACUCACUUUGUAGACCAGGCUGGCCUCGAACUCAGAAAUCCGUCUGCCUCUGCAUCCCAAGUGCUGGGAUUAAAGGCAUGUGCCACCACACCCAGCUGCCAAAAGCUUUCUUGACCUCAUCCCUAGCAAUCAUAGACUUGUGGAAUGUGAUUUUUAAAAAGGAGCUUAAAUACUCCCCUACUCCUUUCAGCCUGAGGUUCAUCCACGUCUGAAUCCGAAACUUGCAUUUGCUUAUUGCUUUGUGGCUUUCCACUGUACUGAUGUACAGCUGUUUAUAAUUCUACUUUUCAAAUGGACAUUUGUACAGUUUCCAGUUCAGGACUAUUGCAAAUAAGGAUGCUGCAAGCAUUUCGAGGACAGAGGUUCUCCCUCCUCUUCAGUAGCUAUAAGCAGAAUGGAUGAGAUGCCUGGGGUAUCUGUGAAAGAAGAUGCUAUGUGUUACAAUGUGGCUGUGUGAUUUUAAGAUCCCAUCAGCAAUAUGCAAGAGUUCUUGUUGCUCCACCAUUGUUAAGCAUGGUUUAUCUUUAAUCUGAACCUUUUGGGUGGCUGAUCAACAGUAUCUCAGUUGUUUAAGCACUAUGUAGCUGUCUCAUACAUUACUAAAUGUAUUUUGUCAGUUGAAUUGUCUUGUUGUUGAGGUUUGGUCUUUUGCUGUGUUUUGUAAUAUUAAGUGCGGUCCCCAAGACCUGGUUGCCCCAGAGAUGAGAGAACCUGCUGCAUGUAGAUGCAGGUAAAGCUCUGGGACCUUACCCCCGAGUUAGCUCUGACUAUAAGUAAAGAUGCUGACAGCAAAUAACACUGGGCAGAGCAGACAGAGAUGGGGUUUAGGACUCCCAAACCACGAGAGAGGUGAAUGGACGGAGGAAGCAUGACGCUGAGGGAGUCAAGAGCAGCCUAGAAGAAACGUAAUAAUAACAGGGUUAUCAUUCUCGAUAGGAAAUAGAUUUUUAACAGCAGCCUUGGUGCUGAUUAAGGCUUAUUGUAAAUAAUAAAAGUUGUGUGUCUUUUAUCCUGGAACAAAAUGAUCAAAGGUGGGGUAGAAAAUCUAGAUUGGGAUUAAAAAUUUCUACAGCAUUUUAUAUUUUCACAAGCAUUGUAGGAGAGGAAGUUGAUGUCAAAGAAGUACCCAUGCACUGCAUUAUCAUCUUUUUUUUUUUCCUCUGCAGGAUCAUGGAUUUCUAUGAGGCGCUUCCCCUGAGCUCCAUCUCCAUCCUCUGUCAUGUUUGCAUGGAAGACAUGCUGAAUUUUUCCAAGUAUCUUUCCAGCUUCUAUAAAAAUAACAAAAUGCUUUCUGAAACCAUUUUAUUCAAUGUAAUAAGUUUCCUAAGAGGUCCAUAGGGUUCAUACAUCCAGGAAAUAAACACUGAGAC
rnacentral:lncRNA from 1 species